rnacentral:rRNA from 1 species
AGUGAACGCUGGCGGUAGGCCUAACACAUGCAAGUCGAACGGCAGCACAGUAAGAGCUUGCUCUUACGGGUGGCGAGUGGCGGACGGGUGAGGAAUACAUCGGAAUCUACUUUUUCGUGGGGGAUAACGUAGGGAAACUUACGCUAAUACCGCAUACGACCUACGGGUGAAAGCAGGGGAUCUUCGGACCUUGCGCGAUUGAAUGAGCCGAUGUCGGAUUAGCUAGUUGGCGGGGUAAAGGCCCACCAAGGCGACGAUCCGUAGCUGGUCUGAGAGGAUGAUCCGCCACACUGGAAAUGAGACACGGUCCAGAAUCCUAGGGGAGGCAGCAGUGGGGAAUAUUGGACAAUGGGCGCAAGCCUGAUCCAGCCAUACCGCGUGGGUGAAGAAGGCCUUCGGGUGGUAAAGCCCUUUUGUUGGGAAAGAAAAGCAGCAGGUUAAUACCCCGCUGUUCUGACGGUACCCAAAGAAUAAGCACCGGCUAACUUCGUG